rnacentral:rRNA from 1 species
GACGAAGCCGUGCGAACGUUGUUCGGAUUCACUGGGCAUAAAGGGCGCGUAGGCGGACGGUCAAGUCGGGGGUGAAAUCUUUCAGCUUAACUGGAAAAGUGCCUCCGAUACUGACUGUCUCGGAGGGAGGUAGGGGACAUGUGGAACUUCCGGUGGAGCGGUGAAAUGACGUAGAUAUCGGAAGGAACGCCCGUGGCGAAAGCGAGGUCCUGGACGCCUACUGACGCUGAGACGCGAAAGCCAGGGGAGGCGAACGGG